UCCGGUUUCAAAGUUCGAUACGCCUCUUUUCAAUAUUUUUCUUUAUUUCACACUUAUUUGGACGUUGCUGUGCAUCUAGACAUCUCAACAAACUGCCCUGACAUACUGCAUAAUAAGGUGUCAUUAAAAAUGGCGUCCCCACUAGAAGACUCAGACGAGCACACAUUGUUUGAAACUGCACCAGAAGUAAAAAACACCAAUGGCAUCAAAAGUACAAUUGAGGAUGAAAUGAAUAGUUCUAUGAAGACACUGAGUGAUAUAAAACUUUCAAGUGUGAAUAGCCUGGAUGCAGAACUUGAAUGUGAUGACUUAAAAGUAACAGUUGAUUCACCUGAAAAACUUGUAACUAAUAUGGAAUCUUAUACCACAUUCCUUGUCAGCACCAUAACAACACGGAGCGAGUAUGAUAGCCCAGAAUAUUCUGUCAGGAGACGCUAUAAUGAUUUUCUCUGGCUGCGUCAACGCUUAGAAAGCUCCUCACCUAUAUACUUGAUUCCUCCUCUGCCAGAAAAACACAGUUUAAAACGUUUUGAUCGGUUCAGCCCAGAAUUCAUCAAAACACGAGAGAAAGCAUUGAACAAGUUUAUGCAGCGACUGAGUAAACAUCCUGUGUUAUCGUACAGCAAGUUUAUACAGGGAUUCAUCACACUUAAACCUUAUGAAUUCACAGCUUUCAAAAAAGAAGGAGGUGGAAUUUUCUCUCGCGUAUCAGAGUCAAUACAUACUACUAGCGCCGUUUAUAUGUUAAAAUCUCGACCACCUGAAUACACUAUGAUGUAUGAAUAUAUAAACACUCUAGGUGAGAAACUAGGUAAUCUGGAACGGAUAUCCCAACGUGUUUAUAAGGAGGCCUCAGAUCUUGCUCAUUCAUUUGAUGAAUGGGGUCCAGUUUUUAAACUUUGGUCAAAUUCAGAAGAGAAAUUAAACCAGGCUUUAUCCAGCAUUGCUACUGCAACUGAAAAAUGCAACACGGCUUUGACUGAAGUCGUAGAUGGAACAGAUCUUCAACUUACUCAACCACUAAAGGAAUACAUCCUAUACGUGGAUGCAGUUCGCGAUGUCCUAAAACGCCGUGAUGCGAUUCAGGCGGAAUGCCAACUCACCAUUGAGGAUUCAAAUCGCAAGAAAGAUGAAAAAGAACAUGUCAAGAUUUCAGAUCAGACGUAUUCCCUCGGAGCUUUCCUUGGGCGAAACCCAGAGGAAGUCAAACAAGAGAAACAAAUAAAGCUCCAGCAGCAAGUGGAAGAUCUAGAGAAACAAGUAGAACUGAUGGGUGACAGACUCACAUGUGCAAAUGCAGACUUAAAAUCAGAAAUGGAUCGCUGGCACAUGAAUAAACGACGUGACUUUAAGGAAAUGUUCAUAGAAAUGGCAGACCGUCAGAUAAACUAUUAUGACAACUGCUUAGCGGCAUGGGAAGCAGCGAUCCCUCAAAUACAGAAAACUGACAGUUUUGAAGAAGGAGAUGGCGAUGAGUAAUAUAUCUCUCAUUAUUGAAGCAAAAAGUGCUGUAACUAUGUACAUGUAUGUACAUUAUGUACAUGUAUAUACUUUGAUAUUGAAUAUGAUAUGCUAUUCCUACAUGUUUGAAAACCUAAGAGAAAUGAGUAUUCCCCAAAUUUUGUACACAUCAAAAAUGAAUUAAAUUUCAAUAAUGUUCAGAAUAGACUCAUAUGCUGCAAAAAUAUGACAAUAUUGGAAUAUUUAAAAAGAAAGCAUCUGUUGUUUAGGAAAAGAAGGUAGGAACAUUUUGUAGCUACAAAAUAUUCCACAUUUGCAAAAUUUUACAGCAUCAAAAUGUACCAGGGUUACAAUAUUCCAGAUAGGAAUGCCAUGCAAUAUAAGACAUUACAUUUGAAUGGUAAGAGCGAGUUACUUGAAGAGUAAAAUUACUUGAAUAAGUACUCAAGUCAUAACUAGAAGUGCAAUUAAAAUUUCGUAUCUUUCCCUCAUUUACGAGAAAACAGUAUAUCAACAUUUUUAUUAGAAAAUGAAUGUUAAUCUAAUGUAUUGCUUAAAAGUUAGAAUUUUAAUGCUCGAAAAUUUUGAAUUUUAAUGCUUGAUAUAAUAUUUUUAAAGUUAUCAUAUCUGCAUUAGAAGUAGUUACCUUGUUUUACAUCCUUUAAUAUGAUAUAAGGGGAUGUUUUCAAUGUCAAUUAUGUCACCUUUUGUUAUUCACCAGAAUGUAACAUUGUAGUGUUAUGGUAUCAUGCUAUAAGAAAUAACACAAAUUGCUUGAGUUCUUGCACAGGGUCUGAGUACUCUAAACCGAGCACUUUUCAUGGCUCCAAAUAUUUUUACUGAACAAAUGGUUUACUGGUUAACAAUUUUUUCUGAUAAACUGUUUGUGGUACAUUAUCAUUUGUCUUGGAUGAGUCAAAUUUACACUAAAUGAAGAAAAAUAAAUUUAUGGGAGAUUUAAGAUGAAAGGCUUGAUCCAAACAUUGAAGAAGGAUCAAUAACGAGACCCUGUCCACAUCUUACACAGAAUAUAUUUUAUUUACAAAUACAUGUACAUGUAAUUGAAGGGUCAAUUUAGAGGUUUAAGAAUAAGUUGUAUAUGAACAUGUAGAACUAUGGUCCUCUAUGAAAGUUCUCU
rnacentral:misc_RNA from 1 species